rnacentral:rRNA from 1 species
UACGUAGGGGUCGAGCGUUGUCCGGAGUUACUGGGCGUAAAGGGCGCGCAGGCGGCUUUGUUUGUCAGGCGUGAAAGCCCCGGGCUUAACCUGGGAACUGCGUUUGAUACGGCAGGGCUAGAGUUCGGGAGAGGAGAGUGGAAUUCCCAGUGUAGAGGUGAAAUUCGUAGAUAUUGGGAAGAACACCGGUGGCGAAGGCGGCUCUCUGGACCGAUACUGACGCUGAGGCGCGAAAGCGUGGGGAGCAUACGAGG